AUUUAUAUAGCGCCAGCUUAUUCCGCAGCACUUUACAAUAAAAGGGGAAUUUACCAACUGAGACAAUAACAAAAUGUAACAGGAACAAUAGGUAGUGGAGGACCUUGCUCAAACGAGCUUACAGUCUAUAGGAGGUGGGGUAUAAAAACACAAUAGGAAGGGUAUAUAGAGAGACGGCAAAUAGACAUGGUGGGAAAGUAGCACAACUGGAGGUGAUAGUGGAGUGUGGCGACCUAGGAGAG
rnacentral:lncRNA from 1 species